AGCUUCAUUAGUGUAUAUUAAAGUUGUUGCAGUUAAAAAGCUCGUAGUUGGAUUUCGAUGAAAUGGUCAGAGAGAUCAACCUCGCGGUUAGAUUUCUUAACAUUUUAUCUUCUUUUAAGAAAGUAAAAAGAGAAACUUUGUUUCUUUUUUCUUAAUAGUUUACUGUGAAAAAAUUAGAGUGUUCAAAGCAGGCAUAACUCCGCCUUUUGAAUAUUUCAGCAUGGGAUAAUAAAAUAUGAUUUUGGUCUUAUUUUAUUGGUUUCUAAGGCUUAAAUAAUGAUUAAAAGGGAUAGUUGGGGUGACUUGUAUUGAAUUGUCAGAGGUGAAAUUCUAGGAUUUAUUCAAGACAAACUGAUGCGAAAGCGUUUCACAAGGAUGUUUUCAUUAAUCAAGAACGAAA
rnacentral:rRNA from 1 species